UACGUAGGGGGCAAGCGUUGUCCGGAUUUACUGGGCGUAAAGAGCGUGUAGGCGGCCAAGCAGGUCCGUUGUGAAACUGGAGGCUUAACCUCCAGACGUCGACGGAAACCGCGUGGCUAGAGUCCGGAAGAGGAGAGUGGAGUUCCUGGUGUAGCGGUGAAAUGCGCAGAUAUCAGGAAGAACACCAAUGGCGAAGGCAGCUCUCUGGGACGGUACUGACGCUGAGACGCGAAAGCGUGGGGGAGCAAACAGG
rnacentral:rRNA from 1 species